UGAGUGUCCUGGAAAAAAUGACAGUCCUC
rnacentral:piRNA from 1 species